ensembl:ncRNA F08G2.13 ncRNA
GAAUUCCUGCGGUCCGGAUCGUAUGGGUUAUCAAUUCUCAACCACCCCAUACGAACUAACUUGACUACCGGAAUU